rnacentral:rRNA from 1 species
CAUGACUGUAGCAAUACAGUUGAUGGCGACCGGCAAACGGGUGCGGAACACGUACACAACCUUCCUUUAAGCGGGGAAUAGCCCGGGGAAACCCGGAUUAAUACCCCAUAGUAUACUGAAGAGGCAUCUCUUUACUAUUAAAGAUUUAUCACUUGAAGAUGGGUGUGCGGCUGAUUAGCUAGUUGGCGGGGUAACGGCCCACCAAGGCGACGAUCAGUAACUGGUGUGAGAGCACGACCAGUCACACGGGCACUGAGACACGGGCCCGACUCCUACGGGAGGCAGCAGUAAGGAAUAUUGGUCAAUGGACGCAAGUCUGAACCAGCCAUGCCGCGUGGAGGAUGAAGGUCCUCUGGAUUGUAAACUUCUUUUAUCUGGGACGAAAAAAGGUCUUUCUAGAUCAACUGACGGUACCAGAUGAAUAAGCACCGGCUAACUCCGUGCCAGCAGCCGCGGUAAUACGGAGGGUGCAAGCGUUAUCCGGAUUCACUGGGUUUAAAGGGUGCGUAGGUGGAUUAGUAAGUCAGUGGUGAAAUCUCCGGGCUUAACCCGGAAACUGCCAUUGAUACUAUUAGUCUUGAAUACCGUGGAGGUCAGCGGAAUAUGUCAUGUAGCGGUGAAUUGCUU